GAUUGGGAGGGUGACUUGGUCACUCCAUUGAUCCCUUACAUUUACCUCGUGUGUCCCUCCAUAAGUUGUGUUCUCUAAGAGGAGGGCCUUCUUUGAUAGAGGAGUACCUCAUGGAAGAAAGGAGUACCUUUGUUCCGUGAGGGGCUUAUGGUGGCUACACUCCCUUGCCAAAGCCUCCAAACAAGCUCUCAGGGGUCCACAUGGAGGCGAGGUCUAUAUGUAGGGUAGUCAAGCUUCCAAGACUACAGACACAUCCAGAUGAGGUGCUGCAUGUGGCAGUUGCCUUUCCUU
rnacentral:snRNA from 1 species